rnacentral:rRNA from 1 species
UACAGAGGGUGCGAGCGUUGUCCGGAAUCACUGGGCGUAAAGGGCGCGUAGGCGGCCACGACAAGUCACUUGUGAAAUCUCCGGGCUUAACUCGGAACGGUCAAGUGAUACUGUCGGGCUAGAGUACAGAAGGGGCAACUGGAAUUCUCGGUGUAGCGGUGAAAUGCGUAGAUAUCGAGAGGAACACCUGCGGCGAAGGCGGGUUGCUGGGCUGAUACUGACGCUGAUGCGCGAAAGCCAGGGGAGCGAACGGG